rnacentral:rRNA from 1 species
UACGUAGGGGGCAAGCGUUGUCCGGAAUCAUUGGGCGUAAAGCGCGUGUAAGCGGUCCGGUAAGUCCGCUGUGAAAGUCGGGGGCUUAACCCUCGGAUGCCGGUGGAUACUGUCGGGCUUGAGUACGGAAGAGGCGAGUGGAAUUCCCGGUGUAGCGGUGAAAUGCGCAGAUAUCGGGAAGAACACCCGUGGCGAAGGCGGCUCUCUGGGACGGUACUGACGCUGAGACGCGAAAGCGUGGGGAGCGAACAGG